AUUGAACGCUGGCGGCAUGCCUAACACAUGCAAGUCGAACGGCAGCACAGUAAAGAUUUCGGUCUUUAUGGGUGGCGAGUGGCGGACGGGUGAGUAAUGCGUAGGAAUCUGUCCUGGAGAGUAGGAUAACCCGAGGAAACUCGGGCUAAUACUGCAUGAUAUCGAGAGAUCAAAGGCAGGGGACCCUUCGGGGCCUUGCGCUCUAGGAUGAGCCUACGUCGGAUUAGCUAGUUGGUGGGGUAAAGGCUUACCAAGGCGACGAUCCGUAGCUGGUCUGAGAGGAUGACCAGCCACACUGGGACUGGGACACGGCCCAGACUCCUACGGGAGGCAGCAGUGGGGAAUCUUGGACAAUGGGGGAAACCCUGAUCCAGCGAUGCCGCGUGUGUGAAGAAGGCCUUCGGGUUGUAAAGCACUUUAGUUGGGGAAGAAAAGUAAUGAGUGAAUAACUGAUUGCUCUGACGGUACCCAAAGAAUAAGCACCGGCUAACUCUGUGCCAGCCGCCGCGGUAA
rnacentral:rRNA from 1 species